rnacentral:rRNA from 1 species
GGAUGAACGCUGGCGGCGUGCCUAAUACAUGCAAGUCGAGCGGACGGACGAGAAGCUUGCUUCUCUGAUGUUAGCGGCGGCCGGGUGAGUAACACGUGGAUAACCUACCUAUAAGACUGGGAUAACUUCGGGAAACCGGAGCUAAUACCGGAUAAUAUUUUGAACCGCAUGGUUCAAAAGUAAAAGACGGUCUUGCUGUCACUUAUAGAUGGAUCCGCGCUGCAUUAGCUAGUUGGUAAGGUAACGGCUUACCAAGGCAACGAUGCAUAGCCGACCUGAGAGGGUGAUCGGCCACACUGGAACUGAGACACGGUCCAGACUCCUACGGGAGGCAGCAGUAGGGAAUCUUCCGCAAUGGGCGAAAGCCUGACGGAGCAACGCCGCGUGAGUGAUGAAGGUCUUCGGAUCGUAAAACUCUGUUAUUAGGGAAGAACAUAUGUGUAAGUAACUGUGCACAUCUUGACGGUACCUAAUCAGAAAGCCACGGCUAACUACGUG